rnacentral:rRNA from 2 species
AGGAUUAACGCUGGCGGCAUGCCUAAUACAUGCAAGUCGAACGAAAGUAGCAAUACUUUAGUGGCGAACGGGUGAGUAACACGUAUCUAACCUACCAUUUAGUGUGGAAUAACUGUUGGAAACGACAGCUAAUACCGCAUAUGUUAUUUAUUUGCAAUGAUAAAUAAUGAAAGGAGCAUUUGCUUCGCUAAUUGAUGGGGAUGCGGCGCAUUAACUAGUUGGUAAGGUAAUGGCUUACCAAGGUAACGAUGCGUAGCCGAUCUGAGAGGAUGAACGGCCACAUUGGGACUGAGACACGGCCCAAACUUCUACGGAAGGCAGCAGUAGGGAAUUUUUCACAAUGGGCGAAAGCCUGAUGGAGCAAUGCCGCGUGACUGAUGAAGGUCUUCGGAUUGUAAAGGUCUGUUGUAAGGGAAGAAGUGCUAGAAUAGGAAAUGAUUUUAGUAUCGACCAUACC